rnacentral:rRNA from 1 species
UUCGCAGGCUGUUCAAUAAGUCAGUGGUGAAAUCUCUCGGCUCAACCGAGAAACUGCCAUUGAUACUGUUGAACUUGAAUAUAGUUGGAGUAGGCGGAAUGUGUAGUGUAGCGGUGAAAUGCUUAGAUAUUACACAGAACACCGAUAGCGAAGGCAGCUUACUAAACUAUUAUUGACGCUCAUGAACGAAAGCGUGGGGAGCGAACAGGAUUAGAUACCCUGGUAGUC